AAAUGGAACACCACUUUGGAAUUAAAAGGGGAUGGCCACAGUUCAGAAAAGCAAAUGGUCUUCAAGAAGGAGAUACUUACAAAUUUGAACUCACUAACAAUGGCACAAUACCUAUAAUUCAUAUGAGUAAAUAUUCUGGGAAUUAAGGAUGCCAAUUGCCAAGCAUCACAGAAGUCAUUGUAGAUGAUAUGAAGCAUUUGAUGAUGGGCAAAGAAAUUAGCAUGUGUUGUACUUUUGUUUUCAAAGUAUCCUUUUCAUGCAUGAUAGUAAUUAUAUUAUCGUAGCCUUUAGAUCCGUGAAUGAGAAAUGAAGAGAUGCUGUUCCAU
rnacentral:misc_RNA from 1 species